GGGUACUCUGUGCCAGCAGCCUCGGUAAUACAGGUGGCCCGAGCGUUGUUCUGAUUCACUGGGCGUAAAGGGUGCGCAGGUGGGUUUGCAAGUUUGAUGUGAAGGCCCCGGGCUUAACCCGGUAAUGGCAUUGAAUACUGCUGAUCUUGAGGAUCGGAGGGGGGACUGGAAUUCUUGGUGUAGCAGUGAAAUGCGUAGAUAUCAAGAGGAACACCAGUGGCGAAGGCGAGUCCCUGGACGAUACCUGACACUGAGGCACGAAAGCCGGGGGAGCAAACAGGAUUAGAUACCCCAGUAGUC
rnacentral:rRNA from 1 species